rnacentral:rRNA from 1 species
GAUUAAGUUAUUAAGGGCGCACGGUGGAUGCCUUGGCACUAGAAGCCGAUGAAGGACGUUACUAACGACGAUAUGCUUUGGGUAGCUGUAAGUAAGCGUUGAUUC